CAGUGUGUGAGUAUGAACCCCUCUCUCUGUCAUACUGUACUACGCUAUACUGUGUUGUAAUGAUACUGUACUAUAGGACUAGAUUACUGUGAGACAGCAUAGUGAUGUAUAUACAGUAUACUUGUACUUACUGACUCCAGCAGUGCACCCGGUGUAGGUAUUCAUGGUGUUCAAGUCAGUAUCCUGAGGUUUGUCUUUUCCGUUCAUGAGCUCAGGAGUUUAGUAAAGAUUGUUGAUGUCUGUAGAGACUUGUUUCAUCAGUGAUUGUGUCAGUGUGGUGUCACUGUGUGAGGGUGACAGUGUGUCAGUGUGGUGUCACUGUGUGAGGGUGUCAGUGUGACUGUGUCAAGAAGCAAACACGCACACUCAGAGAGAGACAGGAGGCACAAGCACACUCAGAGAGAGACAGGAAGCACACGCACACGCGCACCCAGAGAGAGACAGGAGGCACACGCACAGAGAGAGACAGGGGGCACAAGCACACUCAGAGAGAGACAGGGGGCACACGCACACACACAUUUAGACAGGAAGCACACACACACAUUUAGACAGAGAAAGGAAGCACACACACACGCACACGCACACUCAGAGAGAGACAGGGGGCACACGCACACUCAGAGAGAGACAGGCACACGCACACUCAGAGAGAGACAGGAGGCACACACACACUCAGAGAGAGACAGGGGGCACACGCACACUCAGAGAGAGACAGGAGGCACAUGCAAACUCAGAGAGAGACAGGAAGCACACGCACACUCAGAGAGAGACAGGAGGCACACGCACACUCAGAGAGAGACAGGGGGCACAAGCACACUCAGAGAGAGACAGGAGGCACACGCACACUCAGAGAGAGACAGGGGGCACAAGCACACUCAGAGAGAGACAG
rnacentral:lncRNA from 1 species